AGAGUUUGAUCCUGGCUCAGAACGAACGCUGGCGGCGGGGCUUAGGCAUGCAAGUCGCGGGCGAAAGUCGCAAGAUGAGUAGACCGGCGUAAGGGUGAGUAAUGGGUAGUCAACGUACCCUGGUGACGCGGAUAAUGUUCCGAAAGGGACGGUAAUACGCGAUGAGGCCACAGUCCCUGCGGGGAUAGGGGUCAAAGGGUGGGGAUCCUUCGGGACCUGCCGCACUGGGAGCGGACGACCUCCGAUUAGCUAGUUGGCGGGGUAACGGCCCACCAAGGCGAUGAUCGGUAGCCGGGCUGAGAGGCUGUCCGGCCACACGGGCACUGAGACACUGGCCCGACUCCUACGGGAGGCUGCAGUCGCGAAUUUUUCUCAAUGGGCGCAAGCCUGAAGAAGCCACGCCGCGUGCUGGAUGAAGGCGCUUUGCGUUGUAAACAGCUGUCAGAGAAGGGGAAAUGCGUAUUAUGAACAGUAAUACGUUUGACUGCUUUUCAAAGGAAGCCCCGGCAAAACAUGUGCCAGCAGCCGCGGUAAUACAUGUGGGGCAAGCGUUGUUCGGAAUUACUGGGCAUAAAGGGUGCGUAGGUGGCUUGGUAAGUCAGUGGUGAAAUCGUCCGGCCCAACCGGACACGUGCCAAUGAUACUGCCGAGCUUGAGUGCGUGAGGGAUGGGGGGAACGAGCAGUGUAGCGGUGAAAUGCGUAGAUAUUGCUCGGAAGGCCAAAGCCGAAGGGACCCCAUUGGUGCGCAACUGACACUGAGGCGCGAAAGCGUGGGGAGCAAACAGGAUUAGAUACCCUGGUAGUCCACGCCGUAAACGAUGAUCACUAGGUGGGUGCUGAGCUAUCGGUGCCCGCCGCAGGUAAUUUGCUAAGUGAUCCGCCUGGGGAGUAUGGUCGCAAGGCUGAAACUCAAAGGAAUUGACGGGGGCUCACACAAGCGGUGGAGGAUGUGGUUUAAUUCGAAGCAACGCGCAGAACCUUACCAGGUCUUGACAUACCGGGAUUAGUUUGGUGAAAGCCAGAUGAUUACUGUCAAAAGUGUAACCGGAACAGGUGCUGCAUGGCUGUCGUCAGCUCGUGCCGUGAGGUGUUAGGUUAAGUCCUUUAACGAGCGAAACCCCUACGAUUAGUUACCAGCGCGUCAUGGCGGGGACUCUAGUCGGACUGCCGCGCAAGUAGGAGGAAGGUGGGGACGACGUCAAGUCAUCAUGGCCUUUAUGACCUGGGCCACACACGUCCUACAAUGGAUGCGACAGAGGGUAGCAGAGCCGCAAGGUGAAGCCAAUCCCACAAACGCAUCCUCAGUUCAGAUUGUGGGCUGCAAUUCGCCCACAUGAAGCUGGAAUCGCUAGUAAUCGCGGAUCAGCUACGCCGCGGUGAAUAUGUUCCUGAGCCUUGUACACACCGCCCGUCAAGCCACCCGAGUUGGUCGCACCCGAAGUCGUAGUUCUAACCCGCAAGGGAAGGACGCGCCGAAGGUGAAGCCGGUGAGGGGGACUAA
rnacentral:rRNA from 1 species